rnacentral:tRNA from 1 species
GCGGACGUGGCGGAAUUGGUAGACGCGCCAGCUUGAGGGGCUGGUGGCCGCAAGGCUGUGGAGGUUCAAGUCCUCUCGUCCGCACCA